rnacentral:rRNA from 1 species
UACGGGGGGGGCAAGCGUUGUUCGGAAUUACUGGGCGUAAAGGGCGCGUAGGCGGCCUUGUAAGUCCUGUGUGAAAUCCCCCGGCUCAACUGGGGAACUGCACAGGAGACUGCUUGGCUUGAGUUCGGGAGAGGGAAGCGGAAUUCCGGGUGUAGCGGUGAAAUGCGUAGAUAUCCGGAGGAACACCGGUGGCGAAGGCGGCUUCCUGGACCGACACUGACGCUGAGGCGCGAAAGCCAGGGGAGCAAACGGG